AAGUGUAGUUCAAGCAAAACAUUGUAAAAGGACCCAAGUCAAAAAAGUAAACAAACAGCUUUUUUGUUGCAAACGAUGCUAAGAACCUUUAACUAACGCUACAUAUUGAAUAAAGAAUAAAAAAGAUCACCUUUGUGUGAAAAAAAUAGAAUUUUACAAAGGCCCAAACCCAUGACUUUUUGUUUGUUUCGAAGAUUUCUCAUAGACCCUUUGCUCCCAAGGACCAAUAUGGAAACUGGGUUGUUUUGUUUUUAAAAACGUGUUAGCUCAGGGACGAAAACAAUGUUUUUCAAAACAAAGACCAGAACGUGUAUGGCCCUUUGUUUCUAAUAUUAGGAGAAUAACCAGCGGCCGGGACGGAACGGAGCAGCGAGGCCACGGAACACAUUACUGUUUCCGGCUGCGACGAUAAAAACGGUCUCAUCAAUCUAGAACACCGAAUAGUUCGCGCAGCUAGCUUAGAAGUCCAAGAAGUACCUACUGGCGGGAAUGACGUUCCAUUAAAUUUUCAUCUGGCCUCGUUCACUGACGGAGGUCGUGAAAGUGGUGGCGGCGGAUGGGGACUUCCGGAUAGUGGUCGCAGUAGCAAUUCGAACUCUUCGUCUCGUUACGGGCAGUUCUCCUCGGCCAGUAUCAAAAAUUACGCCAAAACGUUCGACCAGAUCGAGAUCACUUGCCAAAAUCUGUUUUGUCCAUUUCGAAAAAGAAGGAAUCGGAUCCCAAAACCCUGCUGCCCCCGCUUCUUCAACUCUUUCACGGAGGAAACCCUGCGGACACACUCAGGUCGUACGUCGCCAACGGGCGUCUACCCGACUUCGGCAGCAACGACGUCCUACCCCCGCAAACGACUAUGUCGGGAAUCAACCCAUCUGACGACGUCCUGAACAACCUGGCAAUGAUGUCAAUUGCUGGUGACGAUUGCGGGACUGACCACAUAAGCAUGGUCGACGACAUAAGCGCCAACACUUCGUGCCGUAGUCGGAGCGGUCGAUGGUUUAUUGUUCAAAACAAAAAUAUGCAGGCCCUUGACACGAUCAUAAAACUAGGUGGCUGAGAUUGCUGCGACGAGGAGGAGGAAGGGUACCAAACCGAUAGAAGCAGUUUCCAAGAAGAAUCUGCUACCGGAAGCCGCGGCGGCCGAUACAAGUCAGCGCUGUUCCGGAAUCGAAAAAUGAACAUCGAGCGUGCUGGUCGACAUAAAAACGAAGUCGGUUGAGUUGCCUACGGAGUUUAUCAAUUUUUACAUAAGUAACUGUAAUUCGUCAUGUGAUGAGUAAAAGAAUGCUAAUUUUUCAAUA